CCUACGUGGGACAGCAGUGAGGAAUAUUGGUCAAUGGGCGCGAGCCUGAACCAGCCAAGUAGCGUGAAGGAUGACUGCCCUACGGGUUGUAAACUUCUUUUAUAAAGGAAUAAAGUGAGGCACGUGUGCCUUUUUGUAUGUACUUUAUGAAUAAGGAUCGGCUAACUCCGUGCCAGCAGCCGCGGUAAUACGGAGGAUCCGAGCGUUAUCCGGAUUUAUUGGGUUUAAAGGGAGCGUAGAUGGGUUGUUAAGUCAGUUGUGAAAGUUUGCGGCUCAACCGUAAAAUUGCAAUUGAUACUGGCAGUCUUGAGUACAGUUGAGGUAGGCGGAAUUCGUGGUGUAGCGGUGAAAUGCUUAGAUAUCACGAAGAACUCCGAUUGCGAAGGCAGCUUACUAAACUGCCACUGACAUUGAUGCUCGAAAGUGUGGGUAUCAAACAGGAUUAGAUACCCCAGUAGUC
rnacentral:rRNA from 1 species